AUUGAACGCUGGCGGCAUGCUUUACACAUGCAAGUCGAACGGCAGCACGGGGGCAACCCUGGUGGCGAGUGGCGAACGGGUGAGUAAUAUAUCGGAACGUACCCGGAAAUGGGGGAUAACGUAGCGAAAGUUACGCUAAUACCGCAUAUGCCCUAAGGGGGAAAGCGGGGGAUUCGCAAGAACCUCGCGUUUUCGGAGCGGCCGAUAUCGGAUUAGCUAGUAGGUGAGGUAAAGGCUCACCUAGGCGACGAUCCGUAGCUGGUCUGAGAGGACGACCAGCCACACUGGAACUGAGACACGGUCCAGACUCCUACGGGAGGCAGCAGUGGGGAAUUUUGGACAAUGGGCGCAAGCCUGAUCCAGCCAUGCCGCGUGAGUGAAGAAGGCCUUCGGUUGGUAAGACUCUUUCUAGCCGGAAG
rnacentral:rRNA from 1 species